GUAAAUAAACAAUAUGAAAACAAAAAGUUAUGGCGGUAUCUUAAGCUUUUCAGAGGAAUUUGCUCUUUAAUGGAUAAAACACCCAAAUCUUACUAAAAUUAGUAAAAUCAGUUUGUAUACCACUAUAAAAGUAAUAGUUAGUUAUUAUUACUUUAUUUUUAAAAAGAGAGAAAAUUAAGUCAAGGUGCAGCUUAAAUUUUAGGAUGAAGUGAAUUACAUAGCUUAUAAGAUAGCACAAUUGAAAAUUUAAUUAGGAUUUGAAAGUAAAAACUUAAUAGAAUGAUAUUUUGAAAAAAGCUCUGAGAUAUGUAC
rnacentral:rRNA from 1 species